rnacentral:rRNA from 1 species
UACGUAGGGGGCGAGCGUUGUCCGAAGUUACUGGGCGUAAAGCGCGCGUAGGCGGUCUUUUAAGUUCGGGGUGAAAGGUUCGGCGCUCAACGCGAACAGUGCCUUGAAUACUGGGAGACUUGAGUUCGGGAGAGGGUAGUGGAAUUCCUGGUGUAGCGGUGAAAUGCGUAGAUAUCAGGAGGAACACCGAUGGCGAAGGCAGCUGCCUGGCCUAGAACUGACGCUGGGGUGCGAAAGCGUGGGGAGCGAACGGG